rnacentral:rRNA from 1 species
UACGUAGGUGGCAAGCGUUGUCCGGAUUUACUGGGCGUAAAGGGCGUGCAGGCGGUCUGUUAAGUCUAGGGUGAAAGCUCCCGGCUCAACUGGGAGAGGUCCUUGGAUACUGGCGGACUUGAGGGAGGUAGAGGAAAAGUGGAAUUCCCGGUGUAGUGGUGAUAUGCGUAGAUAUCGGGAGGAACACCAGUGGCGAAGGCGGCUUUUCUGGGGCCUUACCUGACGCUGAGACGCGAAAGCGUGGGGAGCAAACAGG